ACCGAUCCACCGUGCAGCACGAGAAGGGGAUGCGGGACGCGCGGGAGGAGGGCCGCUGGCCGCGUCGCUUCGCCGGGGCCGCGCGCCGCUCUCUUUCGCCAUCGGCACCGGACGAGUGCACACGUCGUGAUUAACCUAAUAUUUUUGUAUAACGCCAAUCGCCACACGUCGUAACUAUGAAACCUAUAACCUACAAUCUACGCCGAGCGGCGCGCAGCGGGCUAAGUGAGGACGGCGGCAACACGUGCAGCCAACGUGUCUCCGCGGACCACGCCGUACCACCACCACGAGUUCUACGAAGACGCAGACUACAACAGCAGGCGGCAUCAGACGGCGGAGGUCUAACCCGAGGGAAGUUGCUCGUUUCCUAUUAUUUCCUAUCCUUUUCCUAGUGUUUAUUUGUGUGAAUAGCCUAGCGGGCUUAGGUACUAUUCGUUAAUUAGCUUGCCUAUAUUCAAAAUGGUACAAAUUUUGCUUUUCUAGCCUACGACGCUAUAGUGGGCGAGUCCAUUAUUUUUGUGCCGCGUUUUCUAACCUACGACGCUAUAGUGGGCGAGUCCAUUUUGUGCCGCGUUUUCUAACCUACGACGCUAUAGUGGGCGAGUCCAUUUUGUGCCGCGUGUGUGAAAUUGCAUAGCCUAAACUUAAUUUCAUUUAAAUCGUGCAUCCUAAACUACGUGUACGCCUAAUUAAUCUAAAAGCAUCUAUAUUAAUGCACCUAAUAAUUAUUUAUUGUACACACUAAAAGUGUACCUACGCCUAAUGCACUAUAAGCAUAUCUACCUAAGCAUAUUAAUUUUGCAAAUUGAGGUUUUGGUUCUAAGUAUUUACCAAAAUACAUGCCUAU
rnacentral:lncRNA from 1 species